AUGAACGCUAGCGACAGGCUUAACACAUGCAAGUCGAGGGGCAGCACAGGUAGCAAUACCGGGUGGCGACCGGCGCACGGGUGAGUAACGCGUAUGCAACUUACCUAUCAGAGGGGGAUAACCCGGCGAAAGUCGGACUAAUACCGCAUGAAGCAGGGGCCCCGCAUGGGGAUAUUUGCUAAAGAUUCAUCGCUGAUAGAUAGGCAUGCGUUCCAUUAGGCAGUUGGCGGGGUAACGGCCCACCAAACCGACGAUGGAUAGGGGUUCUGAGAGGAAGGUCCCCCACAUUGGUACUGAGACACGGACCAAACUCCUACGGGAGGCAGCAGUGAGGAAUAUUGGUCAAUGGCCGAGAGGCUGAACCAGCCAAGUCGCGUGAGGGAUGAAGGUUCUAUGGAUCGUAAACCUCUUUUAUAAGGGAAUAAAGUGCGGGACGUGUCCCGUUUUGUAUGUACCUUAUGAAUAAGGAUCGGCUAACUCCGUGCCAGCAGCCGCGGUAAUACGGAGGAUCCGAGCGUUAUCCGGAUUUAUUGGGUUUAAAGGGUGCGUAGGCGGCCUUUUAAGUCAGCGGUGAAAGUCUGUGGCUCAACCAUAGAAUUGCCGUUGAAACUGGGGGGCUUGAGUAUGUUUGAGGCAGGCGGAAUGCGUGGUGUAGCGGUGAAAUGCAUAGAUAUCACGCAGAACCCCGAUUGCGAAGGCAGCCUGCCAAGCCAUGACUGACGCUGAUGCACGAAAGCGUGGGGAUCAAACAGGAUUAGAUACCCUGGUAGUCCACGCAGUAAACGAUGAUCACUAGCUGUUUGCGAUACACUGUAAGCGGCACAGCGAAAGCGUUAAGUGAUCCACCUGGGGAGUACGCCGGCAACGGUGAAACUCAAAGGAAUUGACGGGGGCCCGCACAAGCGGAGGAACAUGUGGUUUAAUUCGAUGAUACGCGAGGAACCUUACCCGGGUUUGAACGCAUUCGGACCGAGGUGGAAACACCUUUUCUAGCAACAGCCGUUUGCGAGGUGCUGCAUGGUUGUCGUCAGCUCGUGCCGUGAGGUGUCGGCUUAAGUGCCAUAACGAGCGCAACCCUUGCCACUAGUUACUAACAGGUAAAGCUGAGGACUCUGGUGGGACUGCCAGCGUAAGCUGCGAGGAAGGCGGGGAUGACGUCAAAUCAGCACGGCCCUUACAUCCGGGGCGACACACGUGUUACAAUGGCGUGGACAAAGGGAAGCCACCUGGCGACAGGGAGCGAAUCCCCAAACCACGUCUCAGUUCGGAUCGGAGUCUGCAACCCGACUCCGUGAAGCUGGAUUCGCUAGUAAUCGCGCAUCAGCCAUGGCGCGGUGAAUACGUUCCCGGGCCUUGUACACACCGCCCGUCAAGCCAUGGGAGCCGGGGGUACCUGAAGUCCGUAACCGCGAGGAUCGGCCUAGGGUAAAACUGGUGACUGGGGCU
rnacentral:rRNA from 1 species